AUGCUGCCACUGCUGCUAGGACGAGACGAGUCGAGCUCCAGCUGCAGCCCCGGCCUUGGGAAAAGCUGCAAGCAACGGCCAAUAAAGAAAGGCAACGUCGCCUGCACAGCACAGCACAGCGAAGGCGCCAUCUCUCCCUCCAGCCUGGACUGGCCCUCCCUCCCCCUCACGCGCACGCACACGGCCGCACCCAGCUCCUCCUCCGCUCUCUCUGCGCCCUCUGCCUCUCCCCAGGCUCGCUCGCUCGCGGAGAGAGAAAGCGAGAGGCGAGGGAGGUGGGAGAUCACAGAUCAGGAGGCUUUUGUUUGGUCGAGAGACCACAAGCUCCACCACGGCCCAAUCACCGAGCCUCUGCCUUCUUUAGGCGCGCUCCCCUCCCACGGUGGAGGCCGAAUCAUCUCCUCUCUGCCUCCCUCGACCCACUUCGGCAUCUGCCGGGCCGGGAUCGAUACCGCCGCCACCGCAUAA
rnacentral:rRNA from 1 species